UCGGCCCCCCAAAGUGCUGAGAUUACAGGCGUCAGCCACUGCAUCUGGCCCAAAAUGUCCUUAUUUCAAAAGAAUACCAUGAGGAUUCAAAUUAAUACAUGUAAAGGUCUUAGAAUUGUGCAUGGCACAUAGUUAACUUUGAGUAAAUGUCUGGUUUAUUGUUCUUACUAGUAGACCAUGGCUCAGCUUGUGUCUCGGAGCCUUCUCUAUGGCUUACAAGGGCCUGCAGGGUUUUCUCAGCUUCACCUAGGGCCAGGCUGCUUCAUUCCUCACAUGCCAUGUUCUGUUCAGACUCAGGACCUUUGCCCACACUGGUGCUUCUACCAAGCUCUGUCCCACUUAUCUCUGAGGUCUUAAUCCACAGGUCACUUUCUCAAGGAGCCUAGCUGCUCACUUCUUCCCCCAUCUGACCAUGGGCUCUGUCCCCUAGGCCUUGCCCAGUGCUGGGUCCAGAGAAGGUGCUGAAGAGUCUGGCUGAGUGUUGGACAGAGAGGAGGGAAGAGAAGAAAGGCCAGUUCCCACUCUCUUCAUCCCUUUCCUCACUGCCUGGCAAAACUAGAAAGAGGCCCCAAUAUAGCAGAUCAGUGCUGGAUGCUGUGGGGAAGAGAGUACUGGGCUGACAGUCAGUGGAUGUGGAUUUUGUUUCCCAGUUCCAUCGCUGAUUUGCAGGUGAGUCCUUUCCCCUGCCUGAGACUCUGGGAAAGUAUGGGCCUUUCCCCAACUGUCAAAUGAAGUGGGAAUCAUCUCAAAGGGCUCCGUCUAGGGCUACAGCAUAAGGAGAAUGAAAGUAACUCAUGCAGACAGAUGAGUGACUACCAGGGUUCUCUCUCUCAGGGGUAUCCAAAAGAUCCAGUAAUUAGUGUGUAAAUUGAGAAGCAACAUUCUGAAGUAGGAGAACUUGUUGCCACAAAGGAGUCUGAUCCUUCUCCACCUCAAAGCCCGCUGGGCAUUGCUCUGAACCUGCAGGAUUCCAGGGGAAGAGAGCAAUAGGCACAUCUAUGACCAGGCAGACUCCUGGGCAAGGCUAGAUCUUUCCACGCUCUAGCUCCUGUGGCCUCGACCUCUUCACCCCAGCACCGCCUCCAACUAGUCCAGACAAGUCCCAAGUAUUUUCAGCCACCUUUAUCUGAUCAGAAAUGUUUGGAAUUCCACAGCAGAAGGCAACAGCUCUGGAGGAUUUGGGGAAGGGAGCAAAUCCCUGCAACACCCUUCUCUCCCCACUGUACAGAUGAAUGCUCACACCCCAUGUAACCAAAAACUCAGGGCUGAAGGCACCCACGGUGUUGCAUUUCCUUCUAUUCUGUGAUGUGAUGGAACUGGGAAACAAAACCCACAUCCACUGACUGUCAGCCUCAUACUCUUCUCUGCAGCAUCCAACAUUGAUCUGCACCAGACAAGGGAGUGGGUUCCUUCUUGUUUUCUACCCUAUUCAUUUCUGCCCCAGUCCAUUACCCCUUUAAGGUGCAGAACAGUAAGAUGCCUGAGAUGGUGAGAAGAGGGCUAGGGUACUUUGCCUGAUGUCGAGGGAGGGGGCACCCAGAGGUGUGCUGUUCACAGUCAAUACCCAGAGCACCACCACCAGGAGGCCUGGAAGCAACUCACUGUCCCACUUGAUGUGGCCUGUGGACCACCAGAAAUUUCAGAGCGUCACAGAGAUGUGUGGUUCGAUCCUGAGCAGACAUGGAUGGUCACAAAGGUGAAUUCACUUGCUCAAGAUCCAACACACACAAAAUGGAGGUGGUUCAAACCCAGGUGUGUCUGACUGCAGAGCCUGUGUUCUUCCCAGUAGAGAUGUGGAUGCAGCACAAAUGGUAGAAAGGACCUGAGACUUAGUCAGAAGACCUCAGUUCACCCAAGGGUUGCUACCAUCUCUGACCCUUUGUCUUUGGAUGCUGUUAAGCUAAAAGCGGACCAGGAUCCAUGAUGAGGUUCCUCUAUCCUCUGGGUUAAGUCUGUCCAGGUAAAAUAAUAGGGAAAGAAGAAUACCAUUAAAAUAAAAAUUGGCUGGACACAGUGGCUCAUGCCUGUAAUCUCAGCACUUUGGGAAGC
rnacentral:lncRNA from 1 species